GAUGAACGCUGGCGGCGUGCCUAAUACAUGCAAGUCGAGCGAACGGACGAGAAGCUUGCUUCUCUGAUGUUAGCGGCGGACGGGUGAGUAACACGUGGAUAACCUACCUAUAAGACUGGGAUAACUUCGGGAAACCGGAGCUAAUACCGGAUGAUAUUUUGAACCGCAUGGUUCAAAAGUGAAAGACGGUCUUGCUGUCACUUAUAGAUGGAUCCGCGCUGCAUUAGCUAGUUGGUAAGGUAACGGCUUACCAAGGCAACGAUGCAUAGCCGACCUGAGAGGGUGAUCGGCCACACUGGAACUGAGACACGGUCCAGACUCCUACGGGAGGCAGCAGUAGGGAAUCUUCCGCAGUGGGCGAAAGCCUGACGGAGCAACGCCGCGUGAGUGAUGAAGGUCUUCGGAUCGUAAAACUCUGUUAUUAGGGAAGAACAUAUGUGUAAGUAACUGUGCACAUCUGGACGGUACCUAAUCAGAAAGCCACGGCUAACUACGU
rnacentral:rRNA from 1 species